GACGACGCUGGCGGCGUGCUUAACACAUGCAAGUCGAACGAGUGGCGAACGGGUGAGUAAUGUAUGGGGAUCUGCCCGAUAGAGGGGGAUAACUACUGGAAACGGUGGCUAAUACCGCAUACUAUCGGAUGAACCCAUAUGGGAUUAGCUAGUAGGUGGGGUAAAGGCUCACCUAGGCGACGAUCUCUAGCUGGUCUGAGAGGAUGAUCAGCCACACUGGGACUGAGACACGGCCCAGACUCCUACGGGAGGCAGCAGUGGGGAAUAUUGCACAAUGGGCGCAAGCCUGAUGCAGCCAUGCCGCGUGUAUGAAGAAGGCCUUAGGGUUGUAAAGUACUUUCAGCGGGGAGGCGUUACCCGCAGAAGAAGCACCGGCUAACUCCGUGCCAGCAGCCGCGGUAAUUC
rnacentral:rRNA from 1 species